CGGCACGGGUGAGUAACGCGUAUCCAACCUGCCGUCUACUCUUGGCCAGCCUUCUGAAAGGAAGAUUAAUCCAGGAUGGCAUCAUGAGUUCACAUGUCCGCAUGAUUAAAGGUAUUUUCCGGUAGACGAUGGGGAUGCGUUCCAUUAGAUAGUAGGCGGGGUAACGGCCCACCUAGUCAACGAUGGAUAGGGGUUCUGAGAGGAAGGUCCCCCACAUUGGAACUGAGACACGGUCCAA
rnacentral:rRNA from 1 species